rnacentral:lncRNA from 1 species
AAACCACACGACCUGACCCGACCCGACUCCGAUAGUUUGGAAAAAACUCAAUUUCAACUCUAAAACCGUGGAUAGCCCUAAUUUCUUCCCCCUCUUUCUCACUCUCGCUCUCUCGUCAAUGAUCUGCAAGACAGCAAGCACGACCAUUCUCUCACUCUCGCCACCAAAAUCCCUCUCUCUCUCGUGUCUCUUUGAGCCCUUGAUGCGAAGCCGCCUUUCUUCCAUCGACACCAUCAACGACGCAGCCGAAACGAGAGUACAACAGGCAGCCGGGGAAUCUUUUUAGAAGAAGAAGGCGUAGACCACUUAGCACUGAACCGUGAACUCUCUGAAGUACUGAAGUUCAUUCGGCAGUAGGUGAGAGAAGAAGUUCAUUCGGUCAAUAGAAGAAGGUGAAGCCCAAAAGCCCUUUCAUUUCUCAUUUCUUUUUAUUUAUUUAGUACGAGUAAGAUGGACCUAUACAACAUCUUUGGAAGGCAGUUUAAGAUGGAUUUAAGCAGUUUAACAUAUUUGAACGUUAAUCGUGAGCAAAAUGAAUUUAUAUAAUUUGUUUGAUUGCUCGAGCUUGAGGGGGUUGGAUUUAUACAUUUUAGUCAUUUUGCCGUCGAUUUUCCGUUAAAUUAAUAGUUUUCAAGAUUUAUUUUAUUAGGGACAAUAAUAUGCAAGUAAUUUUUUUUUUUAUCUUUAUUGUACAUUAUCAGUACUGGUUAUUUCUACUUAUGUUUGGUGCUUUUAUUUGGUGACAGUGAUGAAAGUCAAUGAAGUAGAAGUUACUCUUAACUGCAAGUAGUUAUAAUUAUUUUUGUAGGUUCCUGUUCUUUUAUUGUGUGUUUGUAGGUUCCUCUAUACUGCAUCUUAUUCCUUAUUCCGUUUUGCUAGUGGAGUAAGGAUUUAAAACUUAGUGGUGAAGCUGCAGUAGAAAAAAUCACUUUGGAUGGUGUUCGAGGGCUGCGUACUAUGAUAUGUACAUAUAGAAAUAUGCAGUAAUUGUACAUAUAAAUUUUUCUUGUAAACCAAGUUUAUUCAAUUCCAUCGAGAUCCCUUUAUUCUCAGUGGAUCUGAAGAAAAUUGAAGGAUCAGAAAAUAUUUUGGUGUUCUGGGUUCAGAGUGUUACUUAGUAUGAUUCAAAUAUGAGCAAGUUACAAAAGUGUUCAAUUUUCAGCAGAAACAACGAGAUAAUGACUUUACUUCAUAAAUUUUGAUGAUUUGAGUUUGUGUUGGCUCAGAUCUUUGCUCAAUGUGAACGUUAUGGUCGAAUUUGAUUUUUCUUUUCUUAUAAUCGUUGAAUUGAACUUUAAAUUGUUUGACUAUCUUGUAGAGGUGAGUGUUCCUUGAGAAAAUAAUUUUUUAAGUAUGAUUUCUUGCCUGAUAUGUUCUGGACUGUAUAAAAGAAGCUCUUAUGAUGAUUUUUAAAUUGCGCUUUUAGUAUCUGGUGUGCGGUUGAGCUUGAAAUUGAUCUGCAUUUUAUUAGGAUGAAGUUAAAGAUUGUUGUUUUAUAUAUCAAUCCACUUGCUAUAUAAAUUGAAAAUCAAUUGAUUUGAUGUGGAUAUAAUCACUUAGGUUGUGAAAUUGAAUUAGUUGUGUAAUGACAGUAUUAAUUGUAGAUUGCGUAAAGUCCAGGAAAGAUGAUUAAUUUUUUUAUUUGAAAAUGAGCAAACUGUGUUACCAUGGUUAUUUUGAGUAUUGGACUCGAACAGUUACCCAUUGUAUGCUGCUUGUAGUGUGCAUUCAAGAAUUUGGGUUUGAUUUCAGAUAUUUGAGAUGGAAUCAAACUUAGAGGAAGCGCUCAGGUUUAAAGCAAAUGCUGAGAAGAAGUUUGCAGAGAGAAAUUUUGUUGGUGCAAGGAAUUAAGCUUUUAAAGCUCAGAUGUCCUGUCCUGAACUGGAGGGCAUUUCUCAAAUGGUGGCAAAUUUUAGAGUUUACAUUGCUUCAGAGGCAAAAAUUAAUGGAGAAUUUGAUUUCUAUUCAAUUCUUGGAAUGGAUCCAUCCGCANGC